AUGGAGGAAGACAUUCAGCAGCUCCUCGCUCUGGCCGGCUGCAAACUCCAGGCGCUACCUAUCACAUACCUCGGCCUUCCUCUUUCGCUUCGGGCCCUGACCCGUUCAGAGCUUCAACCCCUCAUCGAUCGGAUCACGGCGCAGCUGCAAACUUGGAAAGCGGGCCUCUUCCGUCGGUCCGGCAGACUCACCCUCGUCAACUGCAGGCUCUUGGCGAUGCCAAUCUUCCACCUUAUGGCCCUUGACCUGCCGCCCUGGUUCUUCAAGUGCAUCGACAAGCUUCGCAGAGGAUUCUUCUGGCGUGGAGUGGAGGACGCAAAGGGGGGCUGUUGCCUCAUCGCCUGGCAUAUUGUCUGCUCGCCUAAACUCUACGGCGGCCUGGGCGUCCUCAACCUACGUCUGCUAAACCAGGCCCUGCGCUUAUGA
rnacentral:rRNA from 1 species